ACAGGAUGUGCCUCGUGGCCCGCCUUAUUUUGCCUUAUUCUGCCUUUGAUUGGCUUACCCUGUUAUUCUUACCCUAACCAAUCCCCACUCCUCAUGCGCAAACCUAACUACGUCGACACGUCGAGAAGAUCUGAUCUAGCAUUUACCAUUUAAAAAAAAAAAAAACUUAUUUUCAAGAUGGAGUCACACGUACACAUCAGUGUAAUUCAAAAAAAUAACAGACCGCGGCUGACACGGUGCACGGUGUGCUGUACAAACUUUCAUUGCCCCCUUUGCCCCACUUCAAUGUACAAGGCCCGGUGUAGGGCAAAGGUUUUGCAGCACAUGGAGGUGCAUGUAAACAAUGCCAUUCAACAUGAAGAUUUCUUCAUAACAAAAUGCCACCAGGCCUGCAGGAGUGGAAGCAGUGGCCACUUCCACUGCCCUUUCUGCCUCAAGACCACAAUAAAAAGGCAGGACACCCUGAGGCAUUUGCAGAUCUGUAGGCCACGUCUCCAUGACACCCAGUUAAACGCUGAUGCCGACUGUAAAGAGAAGGACCUCAAUUCCCAGACAGAGGACUGCAAAGCAGGAUCUGUGAACCUACCUCAUCUCAGCAAUGGAAAACUGCCUGUAUCUGUACAUGAUAGUGAAAUGCAAGGACCAGAAGAUCCAUCAGAGAGACCCCAAGACCCAUUGCCAGAAUCCGUGUUGCUAUUCAGUCCUCCCUUGGACAACCCUCCCUACAGAGUGCCCUGUGCAAAGCUGCCAAAUGUUCUUUGUCCUCACUGUAAUGUGCAGCUCCUAAGAAAAAAUUUAAAGAAGCACCUAUACAGAAAACACUCCGAUAAAGCUGUGGGAGACAUCACUGCAAAUUCCCAUGCUGAUGUUGAUGAGAGGGAUGACAAAGAUGCUGUGAAAAAGUCGUUUCUUGGACCACUUUUGCCACUUCAUCUCCAAAAACAAACCUGGGGGAAAGGGCAUGAAAUCAAGUGCGAGUCCAGUGAGUGCCAAAUUGACGAGUUGGGUAUGACUGCAGCCUUGAGCCCCCCAUCUCAUGCCCGGGCGUAUCCAACGGUACACAUCAGUGUAAUAAAAAAAAAGAACAGACCGCAGCUGACACGGUGCACGGUGUGCUGUACCAACUUUCAUUGCCCCCUUUGCCCCACUUCAGUGUACAAGCCCCGGUGUAGGGCAAAGGUUUUGCGGCACAUGGAGGUGCAUGUAAAAAAUGCCAUUAAACAUGAAGAUUUCUUCAUAACAAAAUGCCACCAGGCCUGCAGGAGUGGAAGCAGUGGCCACUUCCACUGCCCUUUCUGCCUCAAGACCACAAUAAAAAGGCAGGAUACCCUGAGGCAUUUGCAGAUCUGUAGGCCACGUCUCCAUGACGCCCAGUUAAACGCUGAUGCCGACUGUAAAGAGGAGGACAUCAAUUCCCAGACAGAGGACUGCAAAGCAGGAUCUGUGAACCUACCUCAUCUCAGCAAUGGAAAACUGCCUGUAUCUGUACAUGAUAGUGAAAUGCAAGGACCAGAAAAUCCAUCAGAGAGACCCCAAGACCCAUCGCCAGAAUCCGUGUUGCUAUUCAGUCCUCCCUUGGACAACCCUCCCUACAGAGUGCCCUGUGCAAAGCUGCCAAAUGUUCUUUGUCCUCACUGUAAUGUGCAGCUCCUAAGAAAAAAUUUAAAGAAGCACCUAUACAGAAAACACUCCGAUAAAGCUGUGGGAGACAUCACUGCAAAUUCCCAUGCUGAUGUUGAUGAGAGGGAUGACAAAGAUGCUGUGAAAAAGUCGUUUCUUGGACCACUUUUGCCACUUCAUCUCCAAAAACAAACCUGGGGGAAAGGGCAUGAAAUCAAGUGCGAGUCCAGUGAGUGCCAAAUUGACGAGUUGGGUAUGACUGCAGCCUUGAGCCCCCCAUCUCAUGCCCGGGCGUAUCCAACGGUACACAUCAGUGUAAUAAAAAAAAAGAACAGACCGCAGCUGACACGGUGCACGGUGUGCUGUACCAACUUUCAUUGCCCCCUUUGCCCCACUUCAAUGUACAAGGCCCGGUGUAGGGCAAAGGUUUUGCAGCACAUGGAGGUGCAUGUAAAAAAUGCCAUUAAACAUGAAGAUUUCUUCAUAACAAAAUGCCACCAGGCCUGCAGGAGUGGAAGCAGUGGCCACUUCCACUGCCCUUUCUGCCUCAAGACCACAAUAAAAAGGCAGGAUACCCUGAGGCAUUUGCAGAUCUGUAGGCCACGUCUCCAUGACGCCCAGUUAAACGCUGAUGCCGACUGCAAAGAGAAGGACAUCACUUCCCAGACAGAGGACUGCAAAGCAGGAUCUGUGAACCUACCUCAUCUCAGCAAUGACAAACAGCCUGUAUCGGUACAUGAUAGUGAAAUGCAAGGACCAGGAGAUCCAGCAGAGACACCCCAAGGCCCAUCGCCAGACUCCGCCUUGCUAUUCAGUCCUCGUCUGGACAACCCUCCCUGUAGAGUGCCACGUGCAAAGCUGCCAAAUGUACUGUGUCCUCACUGUAAUGUGCAGCUCCUAAGAAAAAAUUUAAAGAUGCACAUUUACAGAAAACACAGAAAUCAUGAGAGGACUAAGAAAGAUGCUGUAUGCAUUGAUGAGAGGAAUGGGCUGUCCAGAAGAAAACCUGGGGGAAAGGGCACCAAAUCAAGUGCGAGUCCAGUGAGUGCUAACAGGCCUGGGAGGAAAAGGAAAGUUAACUGAUAAUUAUAUGCAGCCUCAAUGGAUGACAUCUGGGAAGAAGAAGAACGUUCUACAGACCAACUGUGCUGAAGCUCCGAGAUGAGUGCAGAGUUUUCGGACGACCACGUUUCUUCAUACUGUACUGGUCUGGUCCUACUCUUAGUGAUGUUCUUCUAGUAGUUGGUUUUGUAGUAGCUGUUGUUGCUAUAGUAUUUGUAGUUGUUGUUCUUGUUGUAGUAGUCAUUGUAGGCAUAUAUGUACAUGUAGUAGUAGUUGCACCUGUAUCCAGUUUUAGUUGUUGUAGUAGAAGUAUGUUACAAAAUAUCUCAUAAAAAAUAAAGUAUAUAUUUGAUAAAUACAACAGUAUGGUAUAAGUCAUUAAAAGUCAUAGUUCAGUAUGUCAUUAACAAUGUAAACAAAUGUCACAGUGUAGUAUAUCAGUAUAGUAUAUAGUAACAUUAUGAUGAGUUAAAGGCCUUGGACACCCACACAGGUGUUUUCAGGUAUUCUGGCUGAUUAGACCUCUUUUCUAGCCUGACGUCGUCAUACUCAAAUUCUUGUCAGAAUAUGAGUCUGAUACAUUGGGCUAUGAUUAUGGUGCAUGUUUCAACCGAACCAGGAAAGAAAAUGCCUCUCCACUCAAUUGGAUAGACCUACAACCAAUCAGAGCAACGGAGACAGACGUCACAGAAGCUGCAAGUCAAAGGCAGGCUUUGACAGAGCAAAGGCAGAGGCGGCAGUUUCCGUGUCGUGCGGACGGUUGUGGCAAUGUGUAUACAUACGUGAUCGCGGUUCUCUGUUCCUCUUUUAAAAUGAUCGCGCUGUCGAUAGCUUCUAUAACAGACGCGAUGGCGGAAUCUACACAUCUCAAUUCUCCAGCUGCAGCCAACUUUAUUGUAAACUAAUUCAAUCCAAGCGCUCUUUGGUGAAAUGGUUAAUUUACGUUA